rnacentral:rRNA from 1 species
GAUGAACGCUAGCGGCAGGCCUAAUACAUGCAAGUCGAACGGUGUCUUCGGACAUAGUGGCGCACGGGUGCGUAACACGUAUGCAACCUACCUUACAUUGGGGGAUAGCCUUUCGAAAGGGAGAUUAAUACCGCAUAAGACAGUAGCUGGGCAGCCAGCAGCUGUUAAAGAUUUAUCGAUGUAAGCUGGGCAAGCGACCAAUUAGCUAGUUGGUGAUGUAACGGCUAACCAAGGCAAUGAUUGGUAGGUGAACUGAGAGGUCAAUCCCCCACACUGGCACUGAGAUACGGGCCAGACUCCUACGGGAGGCAGCAGUAGGGAAUAUUGGGCAAUGGACGCAAGUCUGACCCAGCCAUGCCGCGUGCAGGAUGAAGGCGUUAUGCGUUGUAAACUGCUUUUAUACAGGAAGAAACGACUCUUGCGAGAGGCAUUGACGGUACUGUAUGAAUAAGCACCGGCUAACUCCGUGCCAGCCGCCGCGGUAAGAC